AUAUCCACUGCAGUACUGAGACUAGACCCUGAGAAACUGGAAGAAAACAAAUUAGAUGAGGUUGCAAAAUGUGAGGAUAAUUAGACAACUAACUUAUACUUGCACUUCAAGUGCUGGAGGAACAUUUGAGCACUAAUUAUUUUGCAUACAUGUGCACCAAUUUUUUUUAUUCAGCUCAAAUGUCCAUAAAUCACUAUUACUAAGGCUCAUGUGCAUAAAAAUGGUGAGAUGAUGAUGCUGGCCACCACCUAUUUCUGUCGACCUUCCUAACGAGACUACCUUGCGCUUCGAAAAAUUUUCACUCUUCUAUCCUGUAUCUUCCAAAUUUUUUACAAACACGGUGUCUAAAGUCACAAAUCCAAGUUAUGUAACAUUCAUAGCAUGUUGUCUAAAGUCACAAAUCCAAUUUAUGUAACAUCCAUAGCAUGUUGAGCCAAUCAAUUGACUUAUUCAUAGUUUUGUGACAGUGAUUGUAGCAGUGCAACUUUGUUUUCGUGUUAACCGUUAUAUAGAAAGCACUACAAUAAAAUAUUCCUUUUUUUAGAAAACACACUAAUAGUCGAUUCUAGAUGAUGAACCUUUUC
rnacentral:lncRNA from 1 species